rnacentral:rRNA from 1 species
AUUGAACGCUGGCGGCAGGCCUAACACAUGCAAGUCGAACGAGUGGCGGACGGGUGAGUAGUAUCUGGGAAACUGCCCGACUGAGGGGGAUAACUACUGGAGACUGUUACUAAUAAAUAUUACCAUGGGAGGUCUCUGCAUGGGAUUAGCUGGUAGGUGAGGUAACGGCUCACCUAGGCGACGCUACCUAGCUGGUCUGAGAGGAUGACCAGCCACACUGGAACGGAGACCGGGUCCAGACGCCUAGGGGAGGCAGCAGUGCGGAAUAUUGAACCAUGGGCGCAAGCCUUAGGCAGCCAGGCCGCGUGUAUGAAGAAGGCCUUCGGGUUGUAAAGUACUGUCAGCGGGGAGGCGUUACCCGCAGAAGAAGCACCGGCUAACUCCGUGCCAGCAGCCGCGGUAAUAC